GGGGCCGGGGCCGGGGUCGGGGCCGCCGGGGCCAUGCGCACGAGCUGGGCAGGGGGCCGGUGGGGCGCAGAGCGGAGCCGCCUCGGAGCCUGAGCCUCCCGGGGCCGGGGCCCGGGGAGCCGCGCGGGGCCGGCCGGCCGGGGGGGAGGGGAGCGAUGCGGCGCCGGCGGGUGGCGGUGGCCGCGGGUUUCUGCGCCUCCUUCCUGCUGGGCUCCGUCCUCAACGUGCUCUUCGCACCGGGCUCCGAGCCUCCGCGGCCAGGCCAGUCCCCAGGGCCCUCCCCAGCCCCGGGCCCGGGCCGUCGCGGGGGCCGCGGGGAGCUGGCCCGGCAGAUCCGAGCGCGCUACGAGGAGGUGCAGCGCUAUUCCCGUGGGGGCCCCGCGCCCGGGGCCGGCCGGCCGGAGCGGCGGCGCUUGAUGGACCUGGCUCCGGGCGGGCCGGGCCUGCAGCGUCCCCGGCCCCCGCGGGCCCGGCCCCUGCCCGACGGCGCCCCGGGCUGGCCCCCGGCUCCCGGACCGGGGUCUCCGGACCCGGUCCCGCGCCUGGGCUGCGCCGCGCUCCGCAACGUGUCCGGCACACAGUACGUGGGCUCCGGCUAUACCAAGGCCGUGUACCGGGUCCGCCUGCCCGGCGGCGCCGCGGUGGCGCUCAAGGCGGUGGACUUCAGCGGCCACGACCUGGGUAGCUGCGUGCGCGAGUUCGGGGCACGGAGGGGCUGCUAUCGGCUGGCGGCCCACAAGCUACUCAAGGAGAUGGUGCUGCUGGAGCGGCUGCGGCACCCCAACGUGCUGCAGCUCUAUGGCUACUGCUACCAGGACAGCGAGGACAUCCCGGACACCCUGACCACCAUCACAGAGCUGGGCGCCCCUGUGGAGAUGAUCCAGCUGCUACAGACGUCCUGGGAGGAUCGAUUCCGAAUCUGCCUGAGCCUGGGCCGCCUUCUCCACCACCUGGCCCACUCCCCGCUGGGCUCGGUCACUCUGCUGGACUUCCGCCCCCGGCAGUUCGUCUUGGUGGAUGGGGAGCUGAAGGUGACAGAUCUGGAUGACGCACGCGUGGAGGAGACACCGUGCUCGAGCAGCGCCGACUGCGUCCUCGAGUUUCCGGCCAGGAACUUCACUUUGCCCUGCUCAGCGCAGGGCUGGUGCGAGGGCAUGAAUGAGAAGCGCAACCUCUAUAAUGCCUACAGGUUUUUCUUCACAUACCUCCUUCCCCACAGUGCCCCCCCCUCACUGCGGCCUCUGCUGGAUAGCAUUGUCAACGCCACAGGUGAGCUCACGUGGGGGGUGGAUGAGACCCUGGCCCAGCUGGAGAAGGUGCUGCAUCUGUACCGGAGCGGCCAGUAUCUGCAGAACUCCACCGCGGGCAGCAGAGCUGAAGGCAGCCAAGCCCUCACCCCUGGGCACACAAAGUUCUCAUUUGAGCUCCGUUCCCCAACCCACAGAGUACCAGCGCCUGCCAGACAGCACCAUCCCCCAGGAAGACUACCGCUGCUGGCCCUCCUACCACCACGGAGGCUGCCUCCUCUCUGUGUUCAGCCUGGCUGAGGCCGUGGACGUCUGUGAGAGCCAUGCGCAGUGCCGGGCCUUUGUGGUCACCAACCAGACCACCUGGACAGGUCGGCAGCUGGUCUUUUUCAAGACAGGAUGGAGCCAUGUGGUCCCUGACCUCAACAAAACCACGUAUGUGAGGGCCUCUGGCUGACCUGUCUGCGGGCUCAGCUGACCAGCUGACCAUCCUCGCCGCUGGGCUUGCCUGUGGAGGGAGUGACUUGCACUAGCAGCACUGCAUGUCACCUAGGAGCCGCUGCAGACAAGGCUGACAUCCCAGACAGACCAAGGUGAACAGGACAAUGUGCAAUAAUGCCAAAUGUUGAAAUGUGAGUUUGCCAGUCUAAGUGUGGGACUGCUGGCUCCAGGGCGAGGGAUCCCUGGGGUGGGGAGCUGACCGCGUCUCCAACCCUCUGGGCUGCCAGCAAGUCUCGGGCUGGUCUUCCCUGGGGGCCCUGCCCCUCACUGGGACAGUUCCGUGGGCAGCUCCAUCACUGUGUUCGUAGUGUGAGAAUGUAGCCAAAGCCCCAACUGCUGCUGCUGCUGCUGUUGCUGCAGGUGUCAUGGCCUAGCAGGGGCUGUGUGAGGACAAUCGGUCAUGGAGUGUCCUCUCAGCUGAGCUCCGGACAGGAGACUGGACGGGAUGCUCCGGGAAGUCGAUGAUUCUGUACCUGGGGAGGCCGCCUCUGGCCACCUGACCAGGGUCUCUCAUACGCCAGCCCCGGGACAGGGGCUGUGGAGCACGCAUGGUAUGAGCCAAGACGUGGGGUCGAGGAGCAGGUUGCGUUUUGAGCCAGGACCUGGGGUGGGGGUGGGGCCGGGGCCUUUCUGCCUCAUUUGCUUUCAGUGAAAGCCGCAAAACAGCCAAAACCAGCCUCUCCCUCCUCCUGGAGUUUGUAUAUCCGGAAGCUUUUGUACUUCUUGUUCAUUAAAAUGUUUAUUUUUGUAAAAAAAAAAAGUCAAUUAAUAAAAUGACAUUUCACGGCAA